UAGGGAAUCUUGCUCAAUGGGCGAAAGCCCGUAGCAGCGACGCCGCGUGCGGGGUGGAGGCCCUCGGGUUGUAAACCGCUUUCAGCAGGGACGAAAUUGAUGGUACCUCCAGAAGAAGGCCCGGCCAACUACGCGCCAGCAGCCGCGGUAAUACGUAGGGGCCUAGCGCCGUUCGGAUUUAUUGGGCGUAAAGAGCUCGUAGGCGGCUUGGUAAGUCAGGUGUCAAAUCUCCACGCUCAACGUAGAGGAGCCACCCGAAACGGCCAUGGCUUGGGUCCGGUAGGGGGGUGUGGAAUUCCCGGGGUAGCGGUGAAGUGCGCAGAUAACGGGAGGAACACCCGGCGCGAAGGCGGCACUCUGGGCCGAUACUGCCGCUGGGGAGCGAAAGCGUGGGGAGCAAACAGG
rnacentral:rRNA from 1 species